GGUGAAAAGCACCCCGGAAGGGGAGUGAAAUAGAACCUGAAACCGUGUGCUUACAAGUAGUCAGAGCCCGUUAAUGGGUGAUGGCGUGCCUUUUGUAGAAUGAACCGGCGAGUUACGAUUUGAUGCAAGGUUAAGCAGUAAAUGUGGAGCCGUAGCGAAAGCGAGUCUGAAUAGGGCGUUUAGUAUUUGGUCGUAGACCCGAAACCAGGUGAUCUACCCUUGGUCAGGUUGAAGUUCAGGUAACACUGAAUGGAGGACCGAACCGACUUACGUUGAAAAGUGAGCGGAUGAACUGAGGGUAGCGGAGAAAUUCCAAUCGAACCUGGAGAUAGCUGGUUCUCUCCGAAAUAGCUUUAGGGCUAGCCUCAAGUGAUGAUUAUUGGAGGUAGAGCACUGUUUGGACGAGGGGCCCCUCUCGGGUUACCGAAUUCAGACAAACUCCGAAUGCCAAUUAAUUUAACUUGGGAGUCAGAACAUGGGUGAUAAGGUCCGUGUUCGAAAGGGAAACAGCCCAGACCACCAGCUAAGGUCCCAAAAUAUAUGUUAAGUGGAAAAGGAUGUGGCGUUGCCCAGACAACUAGGAUGUUGGCUUAGAAGCAGCCAUCAUUUAAAGAGUGCGUAAUAGCUCACUAGUCGAGUGACACUGCGCCGAAAAUGUACCGGGGCUAAACAUAUUACCGAAGCUGUGGAUUGUCCUUUGGACAAUGGUAGGAGAGCGUUCUAAGGGCGUUGAAGCAUGAUCGUAAGGACAUGUGGAGCGCUUAGAAGUGAGAAUGCCGGUGUGAGUAGCGAAAGACGGGUGAGAAUCCCGUCCACCGAUUGACUAAGGUUUCCAGAGGAAGGCUCGUCCGCUCUGGGUUAGUCGGGUCCUAAGCUGAGGCCGACAGGCGUAGGCGAUGGAUAACAGGUUGAUAUUCCUGUACCACCUAUAAUCGUUUUAAUCGAUGGGGGGACGCAGUAGGAUAGGCGAAGCGUGCGAUUGGAUUGCACGUCUAAGCAGUAAGGCUGAGUAUUAGGCAAAUCCGGUACUCAUUAAGGCUGAGCUGUGAUGGGGAGAAGACAUUGUGUCUUCGAGUCGUUGAUUUCACACUGCCGAGAAAAGCCUCUAGAUAGAAAAUAGGUGCCCGUACCGCAAACCGACACAGGUAGUCAAGAUGAGAAUUCUAAGGUGAGCGAGCGAACUCUCGUUAAGGAACUCGGCAAAAUGACCCCGUAACUUCGGGAGAAGGGGUGCUCUUUAGGGUUAACGCCCAGAAGAGCCGCAGUGAAUAGGCCCAAGCGACUGUUUAUCAAAAACACAGGUCUCUGCUAAACCGUAAGGUGAUGUAUAGGGGCUGACGCCUGCCCGGUGCUGGAAGGUUAAGAGGAGUGGUUAGCUUCUGCGAAGCUACGAAUCGAAGCCCCAGUAAACGGCGGCCGUAACUAUAACGGUCCUAAGGUAGCGAAAUUCCUUGUCGGGUAAGUUCCGACCCGCACGAAAGGCGUAACGAUUUGGGCACUGUCUCAACGAGAGACUCGGUGAAAUCAUAGUACCUGUGAAGAUGCAGGUUACCCGCGACAGGACGGAAAGACCCCGUGGAGCUUUACUGUAGCCUGAUAUUGAAAUUCGGCACAGCUUGUACAGGAUAGGUAGGAGCCUUUGAAACGUGAGCGCUAGCUUACGUGGAGGCGCUGGUGGGAUACUACCCUAGCUGUGUUGGCUUUCUAACCCGCACCACUUAU
rnacentral:rRNA from 1 species